UAUCUAGUAUUCCCUUUUCUGGAUUAAUUCUGUGAGAGAGCUGGGAGGAUUUAUGUGCCUGUAGUCAGGAAGAGUCAGAACUCUGAUUUUAAAG